UAAUAAUGAAAAGAUUAUAAAUUGAACUGCAUCAAAACUGAGAACUCUGUUCAUCAAAAGACACUGAGAAUGAAAAGAGUGCCUGUUUUCCAAGACCUGAUGCUAGGCACAUAAAGAAAUGGGCAAGAAAGAGCCGUCAGUACAGAAAGAGGGCCUGGUUGGAUGACAUUCCCACCACUCAUGUGAAAACUUCUGUGGAUUUCCUAUGAAGGAUGGAGCAGACCGUGUAGAAGGUGGAGGAGACUGAACCAUCCCACUGCUCCAGUCAAGAGUGCUGCUCCUGGGUAAGGCAGCUCUAGCAGCAACAAGAUGGUCUAAAUGAAUUGUUAUAAGACUGAGGGAGAGGAAGACACAAGCUCAGUUGUUGUUCCUUUAUCAGAGCCUCUGAAGGGAAGGUCACCUCCAAAGAACCAACCCUGCACCCCACCACCCAGGAGAGCCUGCAGCUCUGAGGACACCGUCAGCCCCGUCUGGACUCAGUGAUGAGCAACAGGAGAAAGAAUCCUGUGGUCAUGUACACUGUCUCCCUCCCCUUUGUCCUUCUCUCAACCCCAGGGGAGCAAGAGCAGGAAAGGAGGCAGGUGAGAGAAUAGACAUCCUGAUGUGCCCUGUUCCAAGCUGCCGUAUUCCUGGGAUUCAUGGGAAAAGGGGUAGAGAAUAGACAAAUUAAGUCUUAAAAUUUCCAAUCAACUCUCUUAAUAAAUAGAAUGUUUGAAAAAUUA